UACUCCGAAAGGGCCUUGCCUCGCGCA
rnacentral:sRNA from 1 species